CGCCUCGCGAAGAUGGUGGCGCGCGCGGCGUGUGGCUCCCGUCGUCUGGCCAAGUCUCAGCGCAGCGCACCGGCCGGCGUCUCGUUGGCCUGGAGCCCACACCCACCGGGUCCCUGACCCCGCGCCCCCUGCGCCCGGUUCCCGGCAUGCCUCGCGCCCGUAAGGGCAACACGCUCCGGAAGGGUGGUCAGCGCCGUGGAGGAGGUGCCCGGAGCAGUACCCAAGCUGACUCGGGUUCCAGUGACGAUGAGGCAGCCAGUGAGGCCCGCAGCACCGCCAGUGAAUGCCCCAGCCUUCUCAGCACCACUGCAGAGGAUAGCCUUGGUGAGAGCGGGUGGAAGUUUGACAGGGGCUUGGUGAGGGCUCCAUGGGCUGAGGACAAGAAGCAGUGCUGACCAGGUGGCCUUGCAGGGGGGGAUGUCGUGGAUGAGCAGGGCCAGCAGGAAGACCUUGAGGAAAAGCUGAAGGAGUAUGUGGACUGUCUCACAGACAAGAGGUACCCCUGGCUGCCAGCCAACUCCUACACCCAGCUCCAAGUGUGAUCAAGGGAGGGCUGGCCCAUAUGACCCCCCUUCUCGACCUCCCCCAGUGCCAAGACCCGGCAGGGUGCUCUUGAGAGCCUGCGCCUGGCCCUAGCGUCCCGCCUGCUCCCUGACUUCUUGCUGGAGCGCCGCCUCACGCUAGCCGAUGCCCUGGAAAAGUGCCUCAAGAAAGGGAAGGGUGAGGAACAAGCCCUGGCUGCUGCUGUGCUAGGCCUGCUCUGCGUGCAGCUGGGCCCUGGACCUAAGGGUGAGGAGCUGUUCCACAGCCUGCAGCCUCUGCUGGUCUCUGUGCUCAGUGACAGCACAGCUAGCCCUGCUGCCCGGCUCCACUGUGCUUCUGCCCUUGGCCUGGGCUGCUACGUGGCUGCCGCUGACAUCCAGGCAGCUGCCCCGGCUGCCCCAGCUCUUGUCCAGUGAAAGUGUGAACCUGCGGAUCGCUGCCGGUGAAACCAUUGCACUGCUCUUUGAGCUUGCCCGGGACCUUGAGGUGCGAG
rnacentral:sRNA from 1 species